UACGUAGGGUGCAAGCGUUGUCCGGAAUUAUUGGGCGUAAAGAGCUUGUAGGCGGUUUGUCGCGUCUGCUGUGAAAUUUCGGGGCUCAACCCCGAACUUGCAGUGGGUACGGGCAGACUAGAGUGUGGUAGGGGAGACUGGAAUUCCUGGUGUAGCGGUGAAAUGCGUAGAUAUCAGGAGGAACACCGGUGGCGAAGGCGCUCAUCUGGCCCGAUACUGACGCUGAUGCGCGAAAGCUAGGGGAGCAAACGGG
rnacentral:rRNA from 1 species